rnacentral:pre_miRNA from 1 species
GUAAAGCCUGCCGCGUCGCCGGUCCCCUGAGACCCUAACUUGUGACGUCGCGACCGAUAUCUCACAGGCUAGAUUCUCUGGUAUUGGCGAUGAGUGCUGCCUUUUGC